rfam:Gossypium raimondii Chr04_contig_577, whole genome shotgun sequence.
AACCAUGGUGAGGGCACUGUCUCAAUAAGUUCGUAUACCUCUCCUAUGCAUCAUAUAGGGUCUCAAAAUUAAUCUGAAUGAAGGAAGAGAUAUUAUUCCUCAACGU